rnacentral:misc_RNA from 1 species
GCCGGGCAAUGGGAAGACCAGGUCCGGGAUUGUUUGAAGCAGAAUGAAGAGCUUCGUUCCGUACUGGAUAGAUUGAGAUCAGGACAAGUCAAUGAUUCACAGUCAAGUGAUGAUAGCGUCCGGUUAUAUGUGGAUACUGAGGGAAGUACUGGAAGCGUGUCUGUGCCUCGAGAAACCACAACUGAAAGUCAGUUACUUAAGGAUCAAAUCAUCAAA